rnacentral:misc_RNA from 1 species
UCUUGGGCUUCUUCGGAUUCUUCUGCUGCUGCUAUUUCUCUCUGUCGCUGCACCAGUUCCUCUUCUUCUGAUAAUUCUUCCACUAAGUGGCGAUGGAAUGCCGCGCUUCAAGGUGUUAUCGAGAGUGCGAUGAAACCGAUUGAUUCUUUCAUCGAUCCGCGCAGGAAAGACAAUAUGGACGUGGGGAUGGAGUGGAUGCGCAGAGGGAGGGUGGGAAGGGUGAAGAAGAGUGGGAUUGGGAUCGUUGGAAAGGCAUUUCGAAGAAGCGAUGAGCAAGAGCGUGUAGUCUCCGUUUUGAACGUUUUUUUGUUUUCUCCAAUUAUCUAUCAUUUUCAAUGACACAUUCACAUAUACAAACACAUACAAAGCUUCAGACAGUGGCGGACAUGGGAGCUUUGCCUCCAAAUAUUGUAAAAAUAAUUAUAGUUGUCUGCCCUUGAAGACAGAACUAUAGGAGCUUUCCAUGUUAACAGACUUAACGUCUUGCUUUUCUAAGUCGCAGUUGAGUCAUGCUGUAAAUAUAGAGGACUAUGAUGAUGCAGCUAGGAUAAAGGUGGCAAUUGCAGCUGCAGCUACAAAUGAUCCUGUUGGCAGAGUGAUGUGAUAGCUGAAUGUAUUUAAUUUGAUUUAUUGCUCUGAUUUUGCCAGGUUGGGAAAGGAGAGAGGGUCAUUAGUAGUGCUGUUGUUCUGCUAACCUUUUAUGUUUUGGACGCUUCAGAGAGCAGUUGUAGAAGAGCGAUACCAAGAUGCAGCUUUAUUGCGAGAUGAUGCUAGUGCUGGAUUGACAGCUUGCUACAGCUGCAGUUGGUAUUCCAGUGUUUGAGAUCUUUGUUACAAAGAACAGGAUAGGUGAAUACAAGCAGC